rnacentral:rRNA from 1 species
UGGGGAAUAUUGGACAAUGGGCGAAAGCCUGAUCCAGCCAUGCCGCGUGUGUGAAGAAGGUCUUCGGAUCGUAAAGCACUUUAAGUUGGGAGGAAGGGCAGUAAGCGAAUACCUUGCUGUUUUGACGUUACCGACAGAAUAAGCACCGGCUAACUCUGUGCCAGCAGCCGCGGUAAUACAGAGGGUGCAAGCGUUAAUCGGAAUUACUGGGCGUAAAGCGCGCGUAGGUGGUUCGUUAAGUUGAAUGUGAAAGCCCCGGGCUCAACCUGGGAACUGCAUCCAAACCUGGCGAGCUAGAGUAGGGCAGAGGGUGGUGGAAUUUCCUGUGUAGCGGUGAAAUGCGUAGAUAUAGGAAGGAACACCAGUGGCGAAGGCGACCACCUGGGCUCAUACUGACACUGAGGUGCGAAAGCGUGGGGAGCAAACAGG